rnacentral:lncRNA from 1 species
AAGGCAAAAUGAAAACGUUUAAUACACAAAAAAAAGCACAAAAGAAUCAACAGGUAUUAAAAGCAUUACAUAGUGCAAAUACCAAAAAGAUACAGAGCUGUUAACUUAGUGGCGUUCAUAAAGACUAAGCAAGAACACAUGAAAAUGUCUCCUUUCCUUAUUUAGUGAGCUGGCCACUAUUCAAAAAGUUAUUUAAAUUGCCUUUUUCUUCCCACUUUAUGAAGCCAUAUUUGCUACUCCUGAUCAGAGAUGUGCUACAGAGUCUCUGUAUACUGACAGCGCAUUUUAUGCCACCUAUUCAAGUGCAUGUAGAAGAAUUUUUGUGUGUGGAGACCAUAGCAAGACAGUUAUGCCUGCUAUCCAAAUUUACACACUCUUAUCUCAGAACCUAGAGACAGAAGGCUUCUCUAGUGAAGGCCUCAUAGCAAGGAAAGGAGAUUCGAGCUACGGUGUGGGUGAAAGGAAGCGAGGCAGGCUCUGCCGGGCAGGCGGAGAGGAAGCUUGUGCUCAGCUUCUAGGGUUCGAGGGAUUCUGUAUGCACCCCAGAGCUUGGUCAACCACGGCUAUAACUUCUAACAUCUUCUUCAAGGCAAGCAUAGGUUUUUACCUCACUCCCCCAUGCUUAACUCCCACCGCAAACUAUGAGGUAGAAAGGGUAAAAUGUGCGUGCGCGCAUUUUACAGGUGAGAAAAAUUGAGGCUUAAGAAGGUCAAGACUGGGUUCAAGAUGGUAGAAUAAUCUUACUCCUUCUCUCUCUCCAAGAGGAACUUAGUGCCUAGCUAUAGACUAAGGAGAGAGUCCUAUUCAGAGGCUGCUUAAGACUUCUACCUUGCCAAGUGCUGAGGAGGCCAGAAACAUUUCAUUCCCCUUUAAAAUAUUUUCUAUUACCUUUAAAAGGAGGAAAGAAAAAAACCAAAAGGAAAACUGUGACUUUUAUUAAAAAGAAAGUGAAAACAUGAGGCAAACUAUAGGAAAAAAGAAGAACCCUCCUGUAGGAAGAGGGAAGGCUGCUCUCAAUGUCUUAGUGCUGGGACAACAGGGAAGCCAAUCCCCCGUUCCUCCAUCAUACACACAAAGGAAGCCCCAACUACAAGUUGUUUGUUAUUAGACAGUAGCUCUGAUGUCACAGCUUCCCUUCCUUAUGCUACAAUCCACCACCUAACUCUGCAACAGAAACAUUCCCCAGGACCGCCUGGAAAAGAGAAAUCUUAUCUGAAGAUACUGUAGUUACCACCAUCCAAGGGGUGACACAGAACGCCUUUGGUAUAAAAGCAAUAUCCAGAAGUAGAUAAAACUUGGAACUCUGAGGCAAAAAGAACAACAGUAAGGGAGGGAGGAAGGGGAAAUGUUUGCCAUU